rnacentral:tRNA from 1 species
GGGAACGUGGCUCAGUGGUAGAGUGCUUGCCUUGCAUGCAUGAGACCCUGGGUUCAGUUCCUCAGCACCA